rnacentral:rRNA from 1 species
UGGGGAAUAUUGCACAAUGGGCGAAAGCCUGAUGCAGCGACGCCGCGUGAGGGAUGACGGCCUUCGGGUUGUAAACCUCUUUCAGCAGGGAAGAGGCGAAAGUGACGGUACCUGCAGAAGAAGCGCCGGCUAACUACGUGCCAGCAGCCGCGGUAAUACGUAGGGCGCAAGCGUUGUCCGGAAUUAUUGGGCGUAAAGAGCUCGUAGGCGGUUAGUCGCGUCUGCUGUGAAAACUCGAGGCUCAACCUCGGGCUUGCAGUGGGUACGGGCUGACUAGAGUGCAGUAGGGGUGACUGGAAUUCCUGGUGUAGCGGUGGAAUGCGCAGAUAUCAGGAGGAACACCGAUGGCGAAGGCAGGCCACUGGGCCGCAACUGACGCUGAGGAGCGAAAGCAUGGGGAGCGAACAGGAUUAGAUAGCCCUGGUAGUCCAUGCCGUAAACGUUGGGCACUAGGUGUGGGGUCCAUUCCACGGAUUCCGUGCCGCAGCAAACGCAUUAAGUGCCCCGCCUGGGGAGUACGGCCGCAAGGCUAAAACUCAAAGGAAUUGAC